UACGUAGGGUGCGAGCGUUGUCCGGAAUUAUUGGGCGUAAAGAGCUCGUAGGCGGUCUGUCGCGUCGGUCGUGAAAACUUGGGGCUUAACCCUGAGCUUGCGGUCGAUACGGGCAUGACUGGAGUUCGGCAGGGGAGACUGGAAUUCCUGGUGUAGCGGUGAAAUGCGCAGAUAUCAGGAGGAACAUCGGUGGCGAAGGCGGGUCUCUGGGCCGAUACUGACGCUGAGGAGCGAAAGCGUGGGGAGCGAACAGG
rnacentral:rRNA from 1 species